UGCUGGUCCAAGUGCAGUGGUGUUUACAAACAAUUGAUCACAACCAGUUACAGAUUUCUUUGUUCCUUCUCCACUCCCACUGCAUCUCUUGACUAGCCAAAA
ensembl:misc_RNA Y_RNA Y RNA